rnacentral:rRNA from 1 species
AGGGUUCGAUUCUGGCUCAGGACGAACGCUGGCGGCGUGCUUAACACAUGCAAGUCGAACGAGAAUCACUGGAAGGAGUUUUCGGACAACGGAAGGUGAGGACAGUGGCGGACGGGUGAGUAACGCGUGAGGAACCUGCCUUCAAGAGGGGGAUAACAUUCUGAAAAGAAUGCUAAUACCGCAUGACAUAUUGGAACCACAUGGUUUUGAUAUCAAAGAUUUUAUCGCUUGAAGAUGGACUCGCGUCCGAUUAGUUAGUUGGUGAGGUAACGGCUCACCAAGACCGCGAUCGGUAGCCGGACUGAGAGGUUGAACGGCCACAUUGGGACUGAGACACGGCCCAG